CUACGGGACGCUGCAGUCACGGAAACUUUACAAUGCGCGAAAGCGUGAUAAGGGUAUCCCAAGUGCUUUGCUUAUUGUAAGGCUUUUGCCAAGUGUAAAGAGCUUGGCGAAUAAGUGGUGGGUAAGACUGGUGCCAGCCGCCGCGGUAACACCGAGCGCCACAAGUGGUAACCACGUUUAUUGGGCCUAAAGCGUUCGUAGCCGGUUUGAUAAGUUUCUUGUGAAAUUGUUUGGCCUAACCAAACAACGUGCAAGAAAUACUGUCUAACUUGGGACCGGGAGGAGUUAGAGGUAUUCCAUGGGGAGCGGUAAAAUGCUAUAAUCCUUGGAGGACCACCAAUGGCAAAGGCUUCUAACUAGAACGGAUCCGACGGUCAGGAACGAAGGCUAGGGGAGCAAAACGGAUUAGAUACCCGAGUAGUC
rnacentral:rRNA from 1 species